rnacentral:rRNA from 1 species
UACGUAGGGUGCGAGCGUUAAUCGGAAUUACUGGGCGUAAAGUGUGCGCAGGCGGCAGAGCAAGUCGAGUGUGAAAGCCCCGGGCUUAACUUGGGAAUUGCGCUCGAAACUACUUUGCUGGAGUGUGGCAGAGGAAGGUGGAAUUCCACGUGUAGCGGUGAAAUGCGCAGAUAUCGGGAGGAACACCGGUGGCGAAGGCGGGUCUCUGGGCAUCUCCUGACGCUGAGGCGCGAAAGCGUGGGGAGCAAACGGG